rnacentral:rRNA from 1 species
UACGAAGGGGGCUAGCGUUGCUCGGAAUUACUGGGCGUAAAGCGCACGUAGGCGGUCUUUUAAGUCGGGGGUGAAAUCCUGGAGCUCAACUCCAGAACUGCCUUCGAUACUGGAAGACUUGAGUCCGGAAGAGGCGAGUGGAAUUCCUGGUGUAGCGGUGGAAUGCGCAGAUAUCAGGAGGAACACCAACGGCGAAGGCAGCUCGCUGGGACGGUACUGACGCUGAGGCGCGAAAGCGUGGGGAGCGAACAGG